AAAUCUGCUUCUACAAUGAUGAGAUCUAUCGAAAAGUACCCAAUCUUUAUAAAAUUUAGGAAGAGCCGGAAAAGGUACGGCACAGUCUAGCAUCGCCAAAUGCUUGUACAUAGCCGUCGGUGCUUAUAAAUGGGACUCUGAAGCCUCAAAUCUAAUG
rnacentral:snoRNA from 1 species